CUGGCCUCUCACUGUGCUCAGCUCUAGAAGAUGCCGUGAAGUCCUUGCUCCACCCUCUACUCUCCCUCCUUUUUUGAUCCUCAUUCUAUGGGAUGGACACCAAGGUUGGUUCCAGUUCCCUGCUACCACAAGCAACAGUGUGUUGAACUUCAUCAUGUCUCCACUUGUGGACUUGUAUGAGAAUUUCUAGGAGAUACAUGGUUGACCCUUGAACAAGGUGAGGUUUGGGGUGCUGAUCUCCCAUGCAAUCAAAAAUCUGUGUAUGACUUUUGACUCCCCCACAAUUUAAUAAUAGUCUAUUGUUGACUGGAAGCCUUACUGAUAAUGAACAGUCAAUUAACACAUACAUAUGUUAUAUGCAUUAUGUACUAUAUUCUUAAAAUAAAGUAAGCUAGAGAAA
rnacentral:lncRNA from 1 species